UCCAAAAAUUCCCAAAUAACUGAACUCAAAACCCUCUCUUUCCCCAUCUUCCCUCUGCAACAAAAUUCCCUAAAUAAUUGAACUCAAUACCCAAACCAACCAAGAUGGGCAUGCCGGAACAAAGACAUCCACUCGGAUUUCAACGAGGACAUGUGUUAUACCUCGCCGCAGCUUCGCAAACUCGUCACCGCAACUUCGCGACCUGGCCGCCGCCGCCGCCACCGCCUUGCACGUCAAUAUUAAAGGACUUCGUCAAGUAGAUUGUUCAAAAAGAAAGGAGAGCUUCAGUGGAGGCUAAGGAUGAAGACGGUGGAAUUCCUCUGCAUGAUGCUUGUGUUGGAGGUUAGUUCCUAUGUAAAUGUUAUAGGCAAUGUGAAAUUAAGUCAUCUGCAGCUUGUUCUAAUAAGUUCCUAUUUAGUAAUGACUAUUGAGGGUGGGGAGUCAUAGAUCACUAGAGGGUAGGGGCGAACCUGCUCUUGUGAUCUCUGUCACCAAAGAAGUUAAGGAGGUGUAAAAUUCUUAACAAGAUGCGAAUAUAGAACACACCAGUUGAUAAGCCUGAAGAAGCUACUGUUAAUGAUGGAAUGAAUCUUAUGGAGGUAAAUACGAAGAAAAACACAAGAGAGAGUUUUACAUGUUGAGCUUGUGGAGUUGUGGCCAGAUAGUAAUACAGCAGGAAGGGGAGGUGUGUCAUCCAAUAGUGGUUUUAGCUGAGAAAGUGAUAUUUAUAUUUGGAUGCAAGAGGGUAUUUGCAAGCAUGAUCUUUGAAGCACCCUCUAACGGUGGCUGCUACUGAGAAAGCUAAAAAAAUCUACAAAGCAAGAGAGCUGAAUGUGAGGCUAAGUCCAAAGACCUCUCUUGUUUGGGUAUUGCACGCCAACAACAAGCUAUUGUGGAUGGGUUAAGAGACAUCAGGACCGGCCACUAGAUACAAGUUUACUCCCCACCACAACAGCAACAAGGUGGCCCCCAUCCCAUGGAUGCAUAUUUGUAGUACUUUAAGUCGAAAAGUAGUGAGUAUAUGGAUUUGAAGAAAAUAACUUAGAAACAGUUCUUAGUUUAUAUACAUAGUCAUUUCCCUUUGUAACUUUUAUAGAUAGGUUUUGAUUAGAAGUUUAUGUCUUUAAUUAGUAUUUAAAUUGAAUACUUAU